UACGAGGGGGGCGAGCGUUGUUCGGAAUUACUGGGUGUAAAGGGUUCGUAGGCGGUGUGGCAAGUCGGGAGUGAAAUCUCUGGGCUCAACCCAGAGUCUGCUUCCGAAACUGCUGUGCUUGAGUGUGGGAGAGGCGCGUGGAAUUGCAGGUGUAGCGGUGAAAUGCGUAGAUAUCUGCAGGAACACCCGUGGCGAAAGCGGCGCGCUGGACCACUACUGACGCUGAGGAACGAAAGCUAGGGGAGCAAACAGG
rnacentral:rRNA from 1 species